CCCAUUUUUCCUCUCUGGAAGUCCCCAUAUGAUGUGUUGUGCAAACGACACAUCAUAUGGGGACUUCUGGCGAGGAAAAAUGGU